rnacentral:rRNA from 1 species
UACGUAGGGUGCAAGCGUUGUCCGGAAUCACUGGGCGUAAAGGGCGCGUAGGUGGCUUGCUAAGCGCGUGGUGAAAGCCCGGGGCUCAACCCCGGGUCGGCCGUGCGAACUGGCGAGCUGGAGCACUGUAGAGGCAGGUGGAAUUCCGGGUGUAGCGGUGGAAUGCGUAGAGAUCCGGAAGAACACCGGUGGCGAAGGCGGCCUGCUGGGCAGUUGCUGACACUGAGGCGCGACAGCGUGGGGAGCAAACAGG